UAACCCUGUCCUCUCCCUCCCAG
rnacentral:miRNA from 1 species